UGGGGAAUAUUGCACAAUGGGCGCAAGCCUGAUGCAGCCAUGCCGCGUGUAUGAAGAAGGCCUUCGGGUUGUAAAGUACUUUCAGCGGGGAGGAAGGGAGUAAAGUUAAUACCUUUGCUCAUUGACGUUACCCGCAGAAGAAGCACCGGCUAACUCCGUGCCAGCAGCCGCGGUAAUACGGAGGGUGCAAGCGUUAAUCGGAAUUACUGGGCGUAAAGCGCACGCAGGCGGUUUGUUAAGUCAGAUGUGAAAUCCCCGGGCUCAACUUGGGAACUGCAUCUGAUACUGGCAAGCUUGAGUCUCGUAGAGGGGGGUAGAAUUCCAGGUGUAACGGUGAAAUGCGUAGAGAUCUGGAGGAAUACCGGUGGCGAAGGCGGCCCCCUGGACGAAGACUGACGCUCAGGUGCGAAAGCGUGGGGAGCAAACAGG
rnacentral:rRNA from 1 species